rnacentral:rRNA from 1 species
GCUCAGGACGAACGCUGGCGGCGUGCUUAACACAUGCAAGUCGAACGAUGAUCUCCCGCUUGCGGGGGUGAUUAGUGGCGAACGGGUGAGUAAUACGUGAGUAACCUGCCCUUGACUCUGGGAUAAGCCUGGGAAACCGGGUCUAAUACUGGAUACGACCCCCUGUCGCAUGGUGGGGGGUGGAAAGGGUUUGACUGGUUUUGGAUGGGCUCACGGCCUAUCAGCUUGUUGGUGGGGUAAUGGCUCACCAAGGCGACGACGGGUAGCCGGCCUGAGAGGGUGACCGGCCACACUGGGACUGAGACACGGCCCAGACUCCUACGGGAGGCAGCAGUGGGGAAUAUUGCACAAUGGGCGGAAGCCUGAUGCAGCGACGCCGCGUGAGGGAUGACGGCCUUCGGGUUGUAAACCUCUUUCAGCAGGGAAGAAGCCACAAGUGACGGUACCUGCAGAAGAAGCGCCGGCUAACUACGUGCCAGCAGCCGCGGUAAUACGUAGGGCGCAAGCGUUGUCCGGAAUUAUUGGGCGUAAAGAGCUCGUAGGCGGUUUGUCGCGUCUGCUGUGAAAGCCCGGGGCUCACCCCGGGUCUGCAGUGGGUACGGGCAGACUAGAGUGCAGUAGGGGAGACUGGAAUUCCUGGUGUAGCGGUGAAAUGCGCAGAUAUCAGGAGGAACACCGAUGGCGAAGGCAGGUCUCUGGGCUGUUACUGACGCUGAGGAGCGAAAGCAUGGGGAGCGAACAGGAUUAGAUACCCUGGUAGUCCAUGCCGUAAACGUUGGGCACUAGGUGUGGGGGACAUUCCACGUUCUCCGCGCCGUAGCUAACGCAUUAAGUGCCCCGCCUGGGGAGUACGGCCGCAAGGCUAAAACUCAAAGGAAUUGACGGGGGCCCGCACAAGCGGCGGAGCAUGCGGAUUAAUUCGAUGCAACGCGAAGAACCUUACCAAGGCUUGACAUUCACCGGACCGCCUCAGAGAUGGGGU